rnacentral:lncRNA from 1 species
CUCUCUGCUCUGUACUUUUCCCCUCUCUGGAAUAUGUUGAGGCCUGUUGCUUCAAGCAGUCACGUUUGUUUUUCAUUUGCUGCCUAAUCUGUUCAGAACUUUAAGUAAAUUAAACUUUUUAUUCUUUCUCUUGCAAACGUCUCAGAGUAAAGUUAUUGAGACUGUAAGUGCCGGUUACUGAGAAAAGAGGUGGGCUAAUCAACCGCAGAAGCCUGUGCUGCAGGGCCAGAAGACCAAGCAGUCGUAAGAUCGAAUCCACGCGACGGAGUGAGCUCCCGUCGCUUGUCCCAGCUCCUGAUCUCAGAGUUAAGUUAUCGAGACUGCAAGUGCUGGUUACUGAGAAAAGAGGUGGGCUAAUCUGGAGAACCUGAAGCUAUCCUUCUUUAAAAAUCUCUGCACUGUGUAACUAGAAAAAUUUAACCAAAAAUUCAAAGCUCUCCAACAGGAGCAACUUUUAUCUUCUAAGCAGGGUUUUCUUCAUCCAUUUUUGUAUGGGCAGUCAUGUGAUCUCUGAUCUGGAGAACCUGAAGCUAUCCUGCUUUAAAAAUCUCUGCACUGUGUAACUAGAAGAAUUUAACCGAAAAUUCAAAGCUCUGCAACAGGAGCAACUUUUAUCUUCUAAGCAGGGUUUUCUUCAUCCAUUUUUGUAUGGGCAGUCAUGUGAUCACUGAGUUUAAGACGGGAUUGGAGAGCCUGUAGCAAUCCGGAUAUUACUGGACUGCAACCAAUGGCGGAUUAUCAUGUAGUCGAAAACAAUGGGAAAGUGUCAGACUGGAGAAAGCUGUCUCAAGUACCCGUGUAUCUGGCAACCCUAAUUAUGGUGGAUUAUGUUGCUGAUGGAGAGAGAUAGUUGGGAACAAGGGAUAGGUAAGGAAUGUGGUUAAGGUCUCUUUCAGAAGUAGGUAAGUUGGGGGCCUCCUGAGGGAUGGUUUCUGAUAUCUCUUUUAAUAUUGUUUUCAGAAUCCUACAAUUUUAGGCUUUGUAAGCAUCAAGCCUUCAGUAUGCAGGGGUAAAUCUGAAAAUAUGAUGGCAAUAGAGGCCCACACUUCAGAAACAAAGGGAAACCCAUAGACAUUUUUAUCUCAGCCUUGGGGGCUUUGCACAAGCAUCACAUCGCAGUCCCCAAACAGGUUCCCCACAAAAGCAUCUGCCCAUGGUGGCUCGGAAUGCAUUCUGUCCAUGAAAAUGACAGGAAAUGAUUUA